CCUACGGGGGGCAGCAGUGGGGGAUAUUGCACAAUGGGGGGAACCCUGAUGCAGCGACGCCGCGUGGGUGAAGAAGCGCCUCGGCGCGUAAAGCCCUGUCAGCAAGGAAGAAAAUGACGGUACCUGAAGAAGAAGCCCCGGCGAACUACGUGCCAGAAGCCGCGGUAAUACGUAGGGGGCAAGCGUUAUCCGGAUUUACUGGGUGUAAGGGGGGAGAUGCGGCGAUGCGAGGCAGGAGGGAAAGCCCGGGGGCCAAGCCCGGGGCUGCUGUUGGAACUGGGUGGCUGGAGUGCAGGAGGGGCAGGCGGAAUGCGUGGUGUAGCGGUGAAAUGCGUAGAUAUCAGGAGGAACACCGAUGGCGAAGGCGGCCUGCUGGACUGCAACUGACGUUGAGGCCCGAAAGCGUGGGGAGCAAACAGGAUUAGAUACCCUUGUAGUC
rnacentral:rRNA from 1 species